rnacentral:rRNA from 1 species
GGUGCCUUCUGAGUUCCCUGGAACGGGACGCCAGAGAGGGUGAGAGCCCCGUACGGUUGGCCGCCGAACCUAUAUAUAGCUCCUUCGACGAGUCGAGUAGUUUGGGAAUGCUGCUCUAAAUGGGAGGUAAAUUUCUUCUAAAGCUAAAUACCGGCCAGAGACCGAUAGCGCACAAGUAGAGUGAUCGAAAGAUGAAAAGCACUUUGAAAAGAGGGUUAAAUAGCACGUGAAAUUGUUGAAAGGGAAGCGUUUGCGACCAGACUUUUUCCUGUCGGAUCAUCCGGUGUUCUCACCGGUGCACUUCGGCAGGUUUAGGCCAGCAUCGGUUCUCUUAGGGGGAUAAAGGCCUUGGGAACGUAGCUCUUUAGGGAGUGUUAUAGCCCCUGGCGUAAUACCCUUCGGGGGACCGAGGAUCGCGCUCUGCAAGGAUGCUGGCGUAAUGGUCGUCAACGACCCGUCUUGAAACACGGACCAAGGAGUCGAACAUUUGUGCGAGUGUUUGGGUGUCAAACCCUCACGCGUAAUGAAAGUGAACGGAGGUGAGAGCCUUAGGGCGCAUCAUCGACCGAUCCUGAUGUCUUCGGAUGGAUUUGAGUAAGAGCAUAACUGUUCGGACCCGAAAGAUGGUGAACUAUGCGUGGAUAGGGUGAAGCCAGAGGAAACUCUGGUGGAGGCUCGCAGCGGUUCUGACGUGCAAAUCGAUCGUCAAAUCUGCGC